AUUAGAUACCCGCGUAGUCCUAGCCGUAAACGAUACUCGCUAGGUGUCGGCCACGGUGCGACCGUUGUCGGUGCCGUAGGGAAGCCGUGAAGCGAGCCACCUGGGAAGUACGGCCGCAAGGCUGAAACUUAAAGGAAUUGGCGGGGGAGCACAACAACGGGUGGAGCUUGCGGUUUAAUUGGAUUCAACGCCGGAAAUCUUACCGGGACCGACAGCAACAUGAAGGCCAAGCUGAAGACUUUGCCGGAUUAGCUG
rnacentral:rRNA from 1 species